rnacentral:rRNA from 1 species
UUAUUGGAGAGUUUGAUCCUGGCUCAGGACGAACGCUGGCGGCGUGCCUAAUACAUGCAAGUCGAGCGAGUCUCUUCGGAGGCUAGCGGCGGACGGGUGAGUAACACGUAGGCAACCUGCCUCUCAGACUGGGAUAACAUAGGGAAACUUAUGCUAAUACCGGAUAGGUUUUUGGAUCGCAUGAUCCGAAAAGAAAAGAUGGCUUCGGCUAUCACUGGGAGAUGGGCCUGCGGCGCAUUAGCUAGUUGGUGGGGUAACGGCCU